rnacentral:lncRNA from 1 species
CUUGUCCUCGAAUAGUGCUGGGAUUACAGGUGCGACCCACCACACCCGGCUGCAAUGUUUGUUUUAAUUACUUUUGGCAAGUAUUUCCUGAGUACCCCGAGCGUGCCAGGUGAAGAGAGACGGAUAAUAACAGCGCUAGCCAGCACGUAUUAAGCCUUGCAAAGCUGCACGGGCAUGAACUUGUGGCUUCAACACAACCUUAUGAGGCCCACCACAGCUGCCAAACAUGAGGUGAUGGGACAGCCCUCGUGGCCUCCACCCACCGCCCUGGUGGAGAAGUGAAACAUGAACCCACCAGUGCAAGACAGAGGAAGAGGCACCAGCGAAGGCAAGAAAACUGAAGCUGGACGCUGGCCUCCAGUCCUGUCUUUGCCAUUAGCAGCCCUGGGAUCUUAGUGCCUUCACCAGCCGAGCUUCAGUUUUUCCACCUGUAAAAUGGAGGGUUGAGGCCACAUCUUCCUUUUAGUCCUUCCUCUUCCCUUCCCUCCAGAGCAAGUGGUGUGGAAUUCUAAGGCAAAAGUCACCCUGAUUGAAUGGUGUAGAUUAGUCAAGAACCCAGCACUGAGGUCAGCCUCUGGAAGCAAUUUAAGAUGACCCAAGGAUUUGAGAUUCCAACCUCCUGCAUGCAAGCAGAAGUGCUUCCUCCUACAUAGGGCUGCCCUCCUUCCUGAGCAACUGGGCUGAUUUGUGGAAGAAACAGCUGUGCUUUCUGGUGAGCUCCAAUGCCAAACAUGUAGGCCUUGGAUCAGGCAGGAUGUUCCAUCAGCAGUCAUUGUUCACACCUGUGCUGUAUGGGCCAGGCAUCGAGCCAAUAGUAACACCUCCUUUCACCCCACAACAACCCUGUACCAAGCACACACCCAUUUUAUACCUGAGGAAGCUGAGGCUUGGAGAGGCACCGCGCCCAGGGUCAUGUAACCACAGGUGACAAAAUGAAGAUGCAAAUGCAACCUGAGUGAUUCCUUUUGAUGGAGCCACACCAUUUAAAUCAA